rnacentral:rRNA from 1 species
UACGGGGGGGGCAAGCGUUGUUCGGAAUUACUGGGCGUAAAGCGUGCGCAGGCGGUUUUGUAAGCCAGAUGUGAAAUCCCCGGGCUUAACCUGGGAAUGGCAUUUGGGACUGCAAGGCUCGAGUGCGGCAGAGGAGACUGGAAUUCCUGGUGUAGCAGUGAAAUGCGUAGAUAUCAGGAGGAACACCGAUGGCGAAGGCAGGUCUCUGGGCUGACACUGACGCUCAUGCACGAAAGCGUGGUGAGCAAACAGG